rnacentral:piRNA from 1 species
AAUGUAUGUAGCACCAGAGA